AAAAAAAACACACCAAUUUUACAGCUGAGCAGCAGGAAAAUGUCAGUACAUUACACUGAAGUGACCUAACACUUAUAUUAUAGUCCCACAAAUACCCAUUAUGGCUAUGCACUUUAAGUUUGGCUAAAUCAAAUAAGCAUCAUGAGAUUGCUCUUACCCUAAAAAUUUUGGGGAAAAACCCUAAGCAUUAUAAUGUGUGUGUGUGUGUGUGUGUGUGUGUGUGUUUACUCUUGUACCAAUUCCUAAACCCUAUAUCCCAGAAAGUAACCAAAAUUGUUUUUUAAAUACCAAAGAAGUACUUAUAGCAAGACGUAAGUCAAUUUUUCUGGUUUUGAGGGACGAAACCAAUAGGUGAUUAUUUAUGUCUCUUAAUGCUUUCAAAGGCGCUGUCUUCUGAAGAGCGAGCGUGGCUGCGGGCUGGGUAAGCAGGGAGAAGAAAGGAAGAGCUGCCUGCACCAAACAAGAAACACAUUGGCCGACACAGCAGCCCUGCCCAGUCUCACGGAUCAGUUCUCUAGUGAGCCAAAUCACAACGAAGCUUUAUGAGUUCACACUACACGGAUUACUGGCCUGCAAACCACAACCUAAUCUGUGUCCAGUAAGAGCCAAUCAAUAUUUUUCUCAGCAUCUCUAACUGAAUGACACGAAUGAAGUGGUUCUCACUGGGUAAGAGGCUGGCUGUUCAGAUUCUUGGGAAUCUUGUCAUGCACAGCUAAGAGUGUUGAUAAUGGCCGAGAAAUGUACUCCCACACUGACCUCUAAUUUUCUUUGUUCUUUUCCAGUCUCCCUUCAUGUGUCCUCCUCCCUAUAUUUGGCUAUCAUUCUGUCAAUUCUUUCGUGUUCCUGAUUUUAGUUUGAUAGCACAUUUGCGUCACAGCGGUUGCAAGCGGUUGAGAACUCAGGGGAGCCUGCAGGCCAGCAGCCCUCUGGCCCCGUUCCCCAGAUCCCUGCUUCACUGUCACCAGAUUGCCACCCAUUCUUGCCAACACCUCUGGUCACAGGGCUGAAGAAAUACGUACAGUUCACUGCUGCCCUCUGCUGCGUGGAAGGGUGAGGGACAAAGAACUGUCA
rnacentral:lncRNA from 1 species